CCUCAGAAACUGAGAGCAGAGAGGGGCUUUCAGUCUGGGGUUCAAGCAGCCCUAAAGUUCAGGGGGGUUGAAGCCUGUUUUGGGGUUCAGGGUUGGUUCCAAAGGCCUGAUGGCUGAAAAUCAGGUAUUGCAUCCUGCUAGUGCCCCAAACUCCAAGGCUAUGAAAUCUCAAGGAACUGCUUAGCUUUUACCUCAGCGUUUCUAAAGUCCUAGGACCAGAGUCUCAGCUACACUGAAGUCCAUGGAGAUUAGUCACCAUGACGAUUGUCGCUGUGUUCUGCUCCCAAAUCAUUCUCCAGAAAUCAUUUACUGUUUCUUCUUUUGGUCCUAAAAAGACAAAAACCAAACACAGACACACAAAAAGAGAAAGGAACACCACAAUGAAAGAGCAGCCUUCCUCCAAGACAAAGCUGGGUGCACCUCAGCCUCCCUCUCUCUGGAGCACUGCGCCUUGAGCUCACAUCAGCAAACAUACAAGGAUUCCCUUCACUGUGCGUUUUGAGACCACACAUCAUCGCUCUCUCAACUCUGCUGACCCUGGCAACUUGGUAGCAUCCAUACAAGAGGAACCUCGUAUUAGAGCUGCAGAGUGACCUGUUAAUCCUAGCUGUCAGAGUUGAAGGAAAUCUUUUCCCAUUAUCAGCAAUCACAAUGCAGUUUCAAUUGGAUAUGGUGUUCUUCAUUUGCUUCUUGUCCAGCUGUAAGCUGUUAAAAAGCAGUUGCUGUGUUGCACCCCAGAGAUAGCUUCAGUCCCAUGGUGGGUGACUUGAUCCAUUAUUUAUAAUGCAGCAACUUUCAUCUUGAAGGAUCCUACAGCAUUUUACAAACUCUCUCUACCCUAAUCUAAUCUCUCCUAAGAUUGCAAAAUAAAUUGGGAAUCCUUUGGGAUGACAAGUGAUAUUACAAACAUCAGACAUUAUUCCACCCGUAGAUGGUGCUUGGCUUUAUAUGUGGAAUGGGUCAGCAGCUGGAAGUGCUGUGUUACAGCAGCCUGUGGCUGGGUGCGCUUCUAGUGGAAAGUGCAGAGAAAGGCUUUUGGAAUCCCUCACCCUAGGCCUAAGCAGAUGUGCAAGAAUGCAGUACAGCAGAGUGUAAGGGAGACCAAGAAUCAUGACGUGUUGCCAAGUGGUUAAUAAACUGAGCUGACAUUUACUUACUCCACUGCUGACCUGCCCACUCUUCCCAACAACCAGUCUAAAUCCCAAACCCAUCAGCAUGGGCUGAGCAGGCUCUGGUCGGAGAAAUAGUGCCUGAGCCAGGCAAGGACCGUGACCAGAGGAUCCCCUCCCUGAAGGAAGUGCAGUCUGGCCUUGUAUGAUCUGCGGAGUCAUUGAAUUCGCCCAUCAAAGGGCCUGAAGUAAGGAAUUUCCCCCAAAGCACAGGUAUAGUGAUGUAAGAUAACCUUACAGCUGAGCUCAGGUACCACAGUCUGAGCACCACUCAGCGCCCACACAAGUCAGCAGAGACCUUGCAGGCUCGUGGCUAGAGCGUUUAAAGGGUUCUUUGCUUUUCUUGUUGAUGCCAAUUUGUAUU